CUACGGGGUGCUGCAGUGGGGAAUCUUAGACAAUGGGCGCAAGCCUGAUCUAGCCAUGCCGCGUGAGUGAUGAAGGCCUUAGGGUCGUAAAGCUCUUUCGCUGGGGAAGAUAAUGACGGUACCCAGUAAAGAAACCCCGGCUAACUCCGUGCCAGCAGCCGCGGUAAUACGGAGGGGGUUAGCGUUGUUCGGAAUUACUGGGCGUAAAGCGCGCGUAGGCGGAUCAGAAAGUUGGGGGUGAAAUCCCGGGGCUCAACCCCGGAAUUGCCUUCAAAACUCCUGGUCUUGAGUUCGAGAGAGGUGAGUGGAAUUCCGAGUGUAGAGGUGAAAUUCGUAGAUAUUCGGAGGAACACCAGUGGCGAAGGCGGCUCACUGGCUCGAUACUGACGCUGAGGUGCGAAAGCGUGGGGAGCAAACAGGAUUAGAUACCCGUGUAGUC
rnacentral:rRNA from 1 species